rnacentral:rRNA from 1 species
UACAGAGGGUGCAAGCGUUAAUCGGAAUUACUGGGCGUAAAGCGUGCGUAGUCGGUUAUCUAAGUCGGGUGUGAAAUCCCCGGGCUCAACCUGGGAAUUGCAUUCGAUACUGGAUAGCUAGAGUUCGGCAGAGGGAAGCGGAAUUUCCGGUGUAGCGGUGAAAUGCGUAGAUAUCGGAAGGAACAUCAGUGGCGAAAGCGGCUUCCUGGACCAGAACUGACGAUCAGGCAGCGAAAGCGUGGGGAGCAAACAGG